rnacentral:rRNA from 1 species
AUGGAUGGCGGCCUUCUGCUGGGUGCUGUAGGAGGAGCUGCGAGAGCGAACCAGAACAAGGCCAAGAUCGUCAAGAUAGCGGUGCCGGUACUGGUGCUGGCCGUGCUGGCGGUGCUGGUCACGGCGGCGGCGGUCUCCAUGGCGCCCGACGGCCCUGCCCGGCUCCACGCCCUCUUCUGCAGCAAAAACUUCCAGGUGAUGUGCGUGGUCUGUCAGAUCAACAUGGGCUGUCUUUUCGCGAGGGAGGCCGCUCGGGCGCGGACGCCGGCGGCCCGGCGCUUCUGGGCGGUGGGCGUCGUCGCGUGCUUCCUGGAGCUCGCGCUCAAGCUGUACACGAUCCCGGUGGUGUGCCGCGCGGCUGUGGAGGAUGGCGCUUAG